GGAGCUGUCUAGUUAAGAUCAGAGCGAGGAGUUUUUUGACAAUGCAGAGGCUUCGGUGACUGGACAAUGUGUCGCUGCCAAAUGCGAGGCAAUUGAGGAUGAUAGGCCUGCAGAGAUCGUUGUCGAGGAUGAUGCACACGAUGAGCAUCGGGAGAGCUUAGAGGAGCAAGCCAUGUUGGAAGCUAUCAGGCAGUGUGUGAUAGAUGCUAUUUUGGCUGAACACCUCGAUGAGGAACCUGAGAAGGGCAGUGAAUAUGCUCCUGCAUGUGAAAGCAAUCCUGACAUGAACUCUAGUGAACCUGAACAUGUUCAAGAAGCUAGGUUGGUUGAUCUCGAUGACUCAAGAACCUGAACAUGAACUCAGGUCACAUACUCCGGCGUUGCUCCGGUGACUCAGAUCGAGCGCACCGUCGCCGCUCGAGCAACGGGGCGCCAUCGAUGGGAAGGCUCUAUUUUGUGCAGGUGCUGCCCUGAUGAGGAGAAACUACUGCUGCAAGUAACCAUUGAUGAUUUCUCUAAUUGGUGGAUUCGGCCCGUGUAGAUUACUGCUAACUUGUACAGAUAGCUAUUUGUGCAGUGUCAGGAUGUGUCUCAGUAUUCUAGAAGAGGAAGACAAUGGAGGAUGUCUCAGUAUUCUAGAAGAGGAAGACAAUGGAGCCACACCAUCGUUACACUUCUUCUUUUAGUGUUGAAUAGGCUAUGUGUAAUACCAUUUGUCUCGGAUGUGCAAUUUUAGUUUGGCAAGUUUAUUUGUGUAAUUUUACAUUGGGGAAUGAAAGUCGAAACAGUAGCCUCAGGAUUAGAGUAAAUUAUGGAUCAGAAUAAUGUUGUGGAAAUAAUGUAUUGCAUAUAACCUGUGGCCCAACAAAAUGCAAAAAAGGUUUUAUAGGCCAGACUUUUUGGGCUUGUAAAAUUUUAUAUUGA